rnacentral:rRNA from 1 species
GGUACGUAGCUCAUCUAAUACAUGCAGUCGAGCGAAUGGAUUAAGAGCUUGCUCUUAUGAAGUUAGCGGCGGACGGGUGAGUAACACGUGGGUAACCUGCCCAUAAGACUGGGAUAACUCCGGGAAACCGGGGCUAAUACCGGAUAACAUUUUGAACCGCAUGGUUCGAAAUUGAAAGGCGGCUUCGGCUGUCACUUAUGGAUGGACCCGCGUCGCAUUAGCUAGUUGGUGAGGUAACGGCUCACCAAGGCAACGAUGCGUAGCCGACCUGAGAGGGUGAUCGGCCACACUGGGACUGAGACACGGCCCAGACUCCUACGGGAGGCAGCAGUAGGGAAUCUUCCGCAAUGGACGAAAGUCUGACGGAGCAACGCCGCGUGAGUGAUGAAGGCUUUCGGGUCGUAAAACUCUGUUGUUAGGGAAGAACAAGUGCUAGUUGAAUAAGCUGGCACCUUGACGGUCCCUAACCAGAAAGCCACGGCUAACUACGUGCCAGCAGCCGCGGUAAUACGUAGGUGGCAAGCGUUAUCCGGAAUUAUUGGGCGUAAAGCGCGCGCAGGUGGUUUCUUAAGUCUGAUGUGAAAGCCCACGGCUCAACCGUGGAGGGUCAUUGGAAACUGGGAGACUUGAGUGCAGAAGAGGAAAGUGGAAUUCCAUGUGUAGCGGUGAAAUGCGUAGAGAUAUGGAGGAACACCAGUGGCGAAGGCGACUUUCUGGUCUGUAACUGACACUGAGGCGCGAAAGCGUGGGGAGCAAACAGGAUUAGAU